UUCAGCCUUCCAAACAGGAGGAUGUGAAACUAAUGAAAGCACUUUUCUCACCUGUAUCUAGUACAAAAACUGUAAAAGCUGAUUUAGUAAUUUCUCCAGACUCUGAAAAUGUUGAAGUGGCACCAUCCUCGCCUCCGCAACAACAAAAGGCAACUGUGUCUAAAAGUGCGGAGCUCUGGGGAAUUGAGCAGAAACGGCAGAGCUGAUGCGCAACAAAAACUGUGUAAAAAUCUGCUGUGACCCUGUAAUUUAACACAAUGCCUCAAGUAGUAUGUAUAUCGUGUUUUAUGAAUGCUACUGUGCUGCAUUUA